rnacentral:rRNA from 1 species
CCUACGGGAGGCAGCAGUGAGGAAUAUUGGUCAAUGGGCUUACGCCUGAACCAGCCAAGUCGCGUGAGGGAAGACUGCCCUAUGGGUUGUAAACCUCUUUUGUCAGGGAGCAACGCCGGCUACGUGUAGCCGGACUGAGAGUACCUGAAGAAAAAGCAUCGGCUAACUCCGUGCCAGCAGCCGCGGUAAUACGGAGGAUGCGAGCGUUAUCCGGAUUUAUUGGGUUUAAAGGGUGCGCAGGCGGAUUUUUAAGUCAGCGGUCAAAUCGUGGGGCUCAACCCCAUCCAGCCGUUGAAACUGGGGAUCUAGAGUGUGCGAGAGGUAUGCGGAAUGCGUGGUGUAGCGGUGAAAUGCAUAGAUAUCACGCAGAACCCCGAUUGCGAAGGCAGCAUACCGGUGCACAACUGACGCUCAGGCACGAAAGCGUGGGUAUCGAACAGGAUUAGAUACCCUAGUAGUC